rnacentral:rRNA from 1 species
GACGAACGCUGGCGGCGUGCUUAACACAUGCAAGUCGAACGAUGAAGCCGGAGCUUGCUCUGGUGAAUUAGUGGCGAACGGGUGAGUAACAAGUGAGUAACCUGCCCUUGACUCUGGGAUAACUGCGGGAAACUGUAGCUAAUACCGGAUACGACCCUCGGAGGCAUCUCCUGGGGGUGGAAAGAAUUUCGGUCAAGGAUGGCCUCGCGGCCUAUCAGCUAGUUGGUGAGGUAAAGGCUCACCAAGGCGACGACGGUUAGCCGGCCUGAGAGGGUGACCGGCAACACUGGGACUGAGACACGGCCCAGACUCCUACGGGAGGCAGCAGUGGGGAAUAUUGCACAAUGGGCGCAAGCCUGAUGCAGCAACGCCGCGUGAGGGAUGACGGCCUUCGGGUUGUAAACCUCUUUUAGCAGGGAAGAAGCGAGAGUGACGGUACCUGCAGAAAAAGCACCGGCUAACUACGUGCCAGCCGCCGCAGUAA